rnacentral:tRNA from 1 species
CAGAAAAUAGUAUAGUAUUAGUAUAUAAAUUUUGGGGAUUUAAGGGGAGGAAUCUUUUCUGA